ACUGAACUCUCUGCUGGAGUGUGGCCCGAGUCGGGUCCACGGUGAAAAGGGCUGUGACAAGACUGACACUGUGCCGUGGAGAAUGCUAUGCCCAAGAGCCCAGCCACUGCGAAGGGAACCACCUCUUGCUAUCUUCGGGUCUGGACAAGCCUCCGGGUCUCAGUUUAACCCAGAGCACAUGUGAUGAUCCUGGCGCUCUGUCACCUGCCCAACACACAGGGAUGAAGACAGGACUUCUGCCUGCGGCGCCCGGGUCAUGCAGACUACGAAGGUGUGGCUCUGGGAAGGGGUACAAGACAGCAGUUUUCCCUCAAGAUGUGAAGUGAUAUCACAUCAAGGUUACCAGAAUGGACUCUGGUGUCAGAUGGCCUGUGUUUGGAUCCCCCCUCCCCGCCGAUUCCACUACAGAACUAGAGAAAACAAUCCAAAAAUUCAUUUGGAAGCAGAAGAAA
ensembl:lncRNA